rnacentral:lncRNA from 1 species
GUAAAACCACCAUACCUUGAUCGACUCCUCAGCUGCUUUAUGUUUCUUCUUGGGCUUUGCUGUUGUUGUUGGGUCUUGAUGAUCUGAGCAAUUGUUUGUCAAUGGAGGUCCACAAAGAUCUCUGUUCCCACCAUAUAUUGAUGGAUCAUCAAUAAGGGUCUGCAAUUGAUGGCCUGUUGGAAUUCUUCCCCACAAGUUGUUGUGUGACAGAUUCAAAUGACUCAAAAAAAUCAAAGUUGCCAUGCUUGGAGGGAUCAUCCCGGUCAACUCAUUGUUUGAGAAAUCAAGAGAAAAUAAUGCCGUCAAGUUUCCAAUGGUGUCUGGAAUAUUCCCACUGAGAUGAUUAUUAGACAAAUUGAGACCCACCAACAUAGAAAGUGCAGUUAUCUCUUUAGGUAUUUCUCCUACGAGUUUAUUGCUUGAAAGGUCCAUGUUAUAAACUAUAUCCAAAAUUCUUGUUUAUUCAAGAUCAACACCUUUCAUAACCUGAAUCACAUUCUCAUUAGAAUCAUCACCACCAUUACUGUCAUACCACUUUUCUGCACCAUUAACCAUUGCAUUCAACUCUCUUAGGCAAUGAGGGAUGAUACCCGUUAAGUUGUUGUAUGCAACAUCCAAAAUUUGAAGAUUUGACAUUUUGCAUAAAGAUUCAGGAAUUUCCCCGGUAAAGUUAUUCUUGUGUAAUCUUAAAACAAUCAAACUUGUCAGAUUUUAAUUUGAGUUCCCAUGAGAUUCAAUUUCAUUAUAAUCUAAUCUGACAUCUAAACAACACCUAUAUUACAAAUGUCAUACAUAUAUAAAAUCCAAAUAGUAGCAUAAAUAAGCACAAUAGGUGUAUUAAGAAGUAAAACAAUCAUAACUAAUAUACACUUAAGAAAUAUUGUCAAUGGUUUCCUCCACAAACGUGAAAAGCUUCUGUCUCCACUGCUUCAUGAACAACAAAAGUCCAAUAACACCCCAAAACCCUGUUGCAAAACCACACGUUACAUCUACGUAAUACCAUGUCUUCAACCAUGCUUUGGUAGGCGCAUCAGUUUGUUUGUAUUUCUUCUUGGGCAUUGUUAUUGUUGUUGUUGUUGUUUGGUCUUCAUGCUUUGAGCAAUUGUUUGUCAAUGGAGGUCCACAAAGAUCUCUGUUCCCACCAUAUAUUGAUGGAUCAUCAAUAAGGGUCUGCAACUGAUGGCCUGUUGGAAUUCUUCCCCACAAGUUGUUGUGUGACAGAUUCAAA